rnacentral:rRNA from 1 species
UUUACUGCUUGGCGGCGAGCGGCGGACGGCUGAGUAACGCGUGGGAACAUGCCCCAAGUGAGGAAUAACUGCCCGAAAGGGUAGCUAAUGCCGCAUAUGAUCUUCGGAUUAAAGGAUUUAUCCGCUUUGGGAGUGGCCUGCGUACGAUUAUGUAGUUGGUGAGGUAAUGGCUCACCAAGCCGACGAUCGUUAGCUGGUCUGAGAGGAUGACCAGCCAGACUGGAACUGAGACACGGUCCAGACUCCUACGGGAGGCAGCAGUGAGGAAUCUUCCACAAUGGGCGAAAGCCUGAUGGAGCAACGCCGCGUGCACGAUGAAGGCCUUCGGGUCGUAAACUGCUUUUAUAAGUGAAGAAUAUGACGGUAACUUAUGAAUAAGCACCGGCUAACUACGUGCCAGCAGCCGCGGUCAUACGUAGGGUGCAAGCAUUAUCCGGAGUGACUGGGCGUAAAGAGUUGCGUAGGUGGUUUGUUAAGUGAAUGGUGAAAUCUGGCGGCUCAACCGUACAGACUAUUAUUCAAACUGGCAGACUCGAGAAUGGUAGAGGUAACUGGAAUUUCUUGUGUAGGAGUGAAAUCCGUAGAUAUAAGAAGGAACACCAAUGGCGUACGCAGGUUACUGGACCAUUUCUGACACUGAGGCACGAAAGCGUGGGGAGCGAACCGGAUUAGAUACCCGGGGUAGUCCACGCCGUAAACG